rnacentral:lncRNA from 1 species
UUGAAUCUUAUACUUUUGCAUGUAGGGUAUAAACUGAAAGAUGAAUCCAGGUACGCAGAGCAAGAAGUACGAAGCUUCAUGAACUAAAAGCGACCCCCACGUCGCUAUUUGGAACUUGGUGUAGUUGUCCAGCAUGUAAUUCCAAGCAUUUUUAAAUGGCUGCUGCAGAGGAUUGUCAGGCAGGAAAGAGUCUAUGUAUUCCACUGCCAGAUAAGCAGAGUUCAAGAUAUUAACGCUGUCGUUCACUGCCAUCGUUCAAGCACAAAACAUCACAGUUACAGCUCUUCUACAGUUGUCUGUGCGCAACCUCGGCGCUGUCGCGGCCCUCUCGCACCGCGGGCGACAGCAGCAAUAACAAGCGCCGCGCGGCCGGCUCUUCACCUGCGCCCUCCCAUUGGCCGCCCA